rnacentral:rRNA from 1 species
GUGGGGAAUAUUGGACAAUGGGCGAAAGCCUGAUCCAGCCAUGCCGCGUGAGUGAUGAAGGCCUUAGGGUUGUAAAGCUCUUUCAGUAGGGAAGAUAAUGACGGUACCUACAGAAGAAGCCCCGGCUAACUUCGUGCCAGCAGCCGCGGUAAUACGAAGGGGGCUAGCGUUGUUCGGAUUUACUGGGCGUAAAGCGCACGUAGGCGGAUUGGUCAGUUAGGGGUGAAAUCCCAGAGCUCAACUCUGGAACUGCCCUUAAUACUGCCAAUCUAGAGUCCGGAAGAGGUGAGUGGAACUCCUAGUGUAGAGGUGGAAUUCGUAGAUAUUAGGAAGAACACCAGUGGCGAAGGCGGCUCACUGGUCCGGUACUGACGCUGAGGUGCGAAAGCGUGGGGAGCAAACAGGAUUAGAAACCCGGGUAGUCC